rnacentral:rRNA from 1 species
ACUAAGCGUACACGGUGGAUGCCCUGGCAGUCAGAGGCGAUGAAGGACGUGCUAAUCUGCGAUAAGCGUCGGUAAGGUGAUAUGAACCGUUAUAACCGGCGAUUUCCGAAUGGGGAAACCCAGUGUGAUUCGUCACACUAUCAUUAACUGAAUCCAUAGGUUAAUGAGGCGAACCGGGGGAACUGAAACAUCUAAGUACCCCGAGGAAAAGAAAUCAACCGAGAUUCCCCCAGUAGCGGCGAGCGAACGGGGAGCAGCCCAGAGCCUGAAUCAGUGUGUGUGUUAGUGGAAGCGUCUGGAAAGGCGUGCGAUACAGGGUGACAGCCCCGUACACAAAAAUGCACAUAUUGUGAGCUCGAUGAGUAGGGCGGGACACGUGGUAUCCUGUCUGAAUAUGGGGGGACCAUCCUCCAAGGCUAAAUACUCCUGACUGACCGAUAGUGAACCAGUACCGUGAGGGAAAGGCGAAAAGAACCCCGGCGAGGGGAGUGAAAAAGAACCUGAAACCGUGUACGUACAAGCAGUGGGAGCACGCUUAGGCGUGUGACUGCGUACCUUUUGUAUAAUGGGUCAGCGACUUAUAUUCUGUAGCAAGGUUAACCGAAUAGGGGAGCCGAAGGGAAACCGAGUCUUAACUGGGCGUUAAGUUGCAGGGUAUAGACCCGAAACCCGGUGAUCUAGCCAUGGGCAGGUUGAAGGUUGGGUAACACUAACUGGAGGACCGAACCGACUAAUGUUGAAAAAUUAGCGGAUGACUUGUGGCUGGGGGUGAAAGGCCAAUCAAACCGGGAGAUAGCUGGUUCUCCCCGAAAGCUAUUUAGGUAGCGCCUCGUGAAUUCAUCUCCGGGGGUAGAGCACUGUUUCGGCAAGGGGGUCAUCCCGACUUACCAACCCGAUGCAAACUGCGAAUACCGGAGAAUGUUAUCACGGGAGACACACGGCGGGUGCUAACGUCCGUCGUGAAGAGGGAAACAACCCAGACCGCCAGCUAAGGUCCCAAAGUCAUGGUUAAGUGGGAAACGAUGUGGGAAGGCCCAGACAGCCAGGAUGUUGGCUUAGAAGCAGCCAUCAUUUAAAGAAAGCGUAAUAGCUCACUGGUCGAGUCGGCCUGCGCGGAAGAUGUAACGGGGCUAAACCAUGCACCGAAGCUGCGGCAGCGACGCUUAUGCGUUGUUGGGUAGGGGAGCGUUCUGUAAGCCUGUGAAGGUGUACUGUGAGGUAUGCUGGAGGUAUCAGAAGUGCGAAUGCUGACAUAAGUAACGAUAAAGCGGGUGAAAAGCCCGCUCGCCGGAAGACCAAGGGUUCCUGUCCAACGUUAAUCGGGGCAGGGUGAGUCGACCCCUAAGGCGAGGCCGAAAGGCGUAGUCGAUGGGAAACAGGUUAAUAUUCCUGUACUUGGUGUUACUGCGAAGGGGGGACGGAGAAGGCUAUGUUGGCCGGGCGACGGUUGUCCCGGUUUAAGCGUGUAGGCUGGUUUUCCAGGCAAAUCCGGAAAAUCAAGGCUGAGGCGUGAUGACGAGGCACUACGGUGCUGAAGCAACAAAUGCCCUGCUUCCAGGAAAAGCCUCUAAGCAUCAGGUAACAUCAAAUCGUACCCCAAACCGACACAGGUGGUCAGGUAGAGAAUACCAAGGCGCUUGAGAGAACUCGGGUGAAGGAACUAGGCAAAAUGGUGCCGUAACUUCGGGAGAAGGCACGCUGAUAUGUAGGUGAAGUGAUUUACUCAUGGAGCUGAAAUCAGUCGAAGAUACCAGCUGGCUGCAACUGUUUAUUAAAAACACAGCACUGUGCAAACACGAAAGUGGACGUAUACGGUGUGACGCCUGCCCGGUGCCGGAAGGUUAAUUGAUGGGGUUAGCGCAAGCGAAGCUCUUGAUCGAAGCCCCGGUAAACGGCGGCCGUAACUAUAACGGUCCUAAGGUAGCGAAAUUCCUUGUCGGGUAAGUUCCGACCUGCACGAAUGGCGUAAUGAUGGCCAGGCUGUCUCCACCCGAGACUCAGUGAAAUUGAACUCGCUGUGAAGAUGCAGUGUACCCGCGGCAAGACGGAAAGACCCCGUGAACCUUUACUAUAGCUUGACACUGAACAUUGAGCCUUGAUGUGUAGGAUAGGUGGGAGGCUUUGAAGUGUGGACGCCAGUCUGCAUGGAGCCGACCUUGAAAUACCACCCUUUAAUGUUUGAUGUUCUAACGUGGACCCGUAAUCCGGGUUGCGGACAGUGUCUGGUGGGUAGUUUGACUGGGGCGGUCUCCUCCUAAAGAGUAACGGAGGAGCACGAAGGUUGGCUAAUCCUGGUCGGACAUCAGGAGGUUAGUGCAAUGGCAUAAGCCAGCUUGACUGCGAGCGUGACGGCGCGAGCAGGUGCGAAAGCAGGUCAUAGUGAUCCGGUGGUUCUGAAUGGAAGGGCCAUCGCUCAACGGAUAAAAGGUACUCCGGGGAUAACAGGCUGAUACCGCCCAAGAGUUCAUAUCGACGGCGGUGUUUGGCACCUCGAUGUCGGCUCAUCACAUCCUGGGGCUGAAGUAGGUCCCAAGGGUAUGGCUGUUCGCCAUUUAAAGUGGUACGCGAGCUGGGUUUAGAACGUCGUGAGACAGUUCGGUCCCUAUCUGCCGUGGGCGCUGGAGAAUUGAGGGGGGCUGCUCCUAGUACGAGAGGACCGGAGUGGACGCAUCACUGGUGUUCGGGUUGUCAUGCCAAUGGCACUGCCCGGUAGCUAAAUGCGGAAGAGAUAAGUGCUGAAAGCAUCUAAGCACGAAACUUGCCCCGAGAUGAGUUCUCCCUGACUCCUUGAGAGUCCUGAAGGAACGUUGAAGACGACGACGUUGAUAGGCCGGGUGUGUAAGCGCAGCGAUGCGUUGAGCUAACCGGUACUAAUGAACCGUGAGGCUUAACC